GCCUAGUUAGCUUAGUUGGUAGUGCGUCUGCCUUGUAAGCGCUAGGCCGCGGGUUCGAUCCCCACCCGGGGCG
rnacentral:tRNA from 1 species